rnacentral:tRNA from 1 species
GAAGUUUAAGUUAACUUAAACCCAGGGCCUUCAAAGCCCUAAAUAGGACCUACGUCCUAACUUCUG